UCCAACCUGCAUGUUACUCUGUAGUUCAGUUUCAUUCAUUUCAUUUUUAUCAUUAUCCAUUUCUUUUAGAGUUUUCCUGUGAAGAAAUCCUAAAUGAGGGUUGAGAUGAAGGAAACCAAGUGAUGGGCAGUUCAAGAUUGCUGUCGUUUGAGAAGUUAAUGAACAAAUCAUCUUUCCUGUUGCGGUUGUGAGCUACAAAAUACCCAGAGGAGGCGGCACUUACUCUGGAGUUCAUACAGAAAAUUUUCCUGUGAAGAAAUCCUGAACGUGGUUUAAGAUGAAGGCAACCAAGUGGCUGUGCAUUCCUCCAAGACUCUUGCAUG